GGGGUCGUAGCUCAGAUGGGAGAGCGCCUCGAUGGCAUCGAGGAGGUCAGGGGUUCGAUUCCCCUCGACUCCA
rnacentral:tRNA from 1 species